UCUAAUAUGGCAGAUUAGUGCGGUGAAUUUAAGCUUCACAUAUAAAGUUUACACUUUUUUUAGAA
rnacentral:tRNA from 1 species